UGGCAAGGAGGAUAUUCUGUAAAUGAAACAACGUGAUUGAUUUAUACGCUAUUCUGAGCCAGUU